rnacentral:lncRNA from 1 species
CAGAGGGUUACUAGCUAAGAACAAUUAAGCUGUUACCUCCUAAGUUGCCUAUUAUAAAUUCACAUCUGGAGGGAAAUUAUACUCUAAAAGCUAAGCCUGCAAAGGGGUCUUUGGAAACACUGGGCGGUGCUCUGCCUAAUCUCAAGCAUCCCAGGGCCAAAGCCAAAAAGAAACCUCGGCCUUGUAAUUCUUUCCAUGGCCAUGCUCAUCAGCCAGUCACCUCGCUCCAGCAGCACAACGCACCCGCCUGCCUCAGCACCCGCUGGAAUUCGCAGCAGCCAGCACACGGAGUAGGGGACGUUUGCCUGGCCAGAGGGAAGUCUUGAGGACGUGGUGGAUCUUGGAUGUCAGUACUUUCUAGGGCACAGAUGCCUUACAUGAGCUGCCAGGCUCCUCUCCUGGACUGAGGUCCUCAAGAAUCCCAAAGCCUUGCAAUAUGCUGGGAGGAGAAAGGAGUCCUUGGAGUCAGGUUUUGCUCAGGAGCUUCUUACUUCUAUUGUUGCUACUGGGAAAAAUGACCAAAAAAACUGUGACUAGUUAUUUGUUGCCCACCAUGAACUUCCAGAUAAAGGCAACUCUAGGUAUUGAAGUUGCAGACCCCAGGCUGCCGAGAGAUACAAUGAUGAACGGCCUCCUUACAGCGAAGGGCUUCCGGAGUCUACCAGGACAGGCUGUAACCUAUACAUUAUAAACUCAUAAGAAACAAUGAAAGACAGAGAUGCCAAAAUGUGUAACUGAAUAGCAACAAUUUAAACCCAUAUGCCAGGCUGUAUAUCGUAGAUUUUUGCUUCCAGAAGUACUAGCCUGACCAAAACAGUGUCCCAUUUUUUCACUUGUAUAAAC